GUUCCGAUGGCCUAGUGGUUAGAGCGCCCACCUCGGAUGCGGGAGGCCGUGGGUUCGAAACCCAGCCGAGUCA